UAAAGACACUAACUGCCUCUUAGUGUUUUAAGAGGGCCUGGUUGAUACUUGGAUGGGAGACCACCUGGGAAUAUCGGGUGCUUUAU
ensembl:rRNA 5S_rRNA 5S ribosomal RNA